rnacentral:rRNA from 1 species
GAUGAACGCUGGCGGCGUGCCUAAUACAUGCAAGUCGAGCGAACGGACGAGAAGCUUGCUUCUCUGAUGUUAGCGGCGGACGGGUGAGUAACACGUGGAUAACCUACCUAUAAGACUGGGAUAACUUCGGGAAACCGUAGCUAAUACCGGAUAAUAUUUUGAACCGCAUGGUUCAAAAGUGAAAGACGGUCUUGCUGUCACUUAUAGAUGGAUCCGCGCUGCAUUAGCUAGUUGGUAAGGUAACGGCUUACCAAGGCAACGAUGCAUAGCCGACCUGAGAGGGUGAUCGGCCACACUGGAACUGAGACACGGUCCAGACUCCUACGGGAGGCAGCAGUAGGGAAUCUUCCGCAAUGGGCGAGAGCCUGACGGAGCAACGCCGCGUGAGUGAUGAAGGUCUUCGGAUCGUAAAACUCUGUUAUUAGGGAAGAACAUAUGUGUAAGUAACUGUGCACAUCUUGACGGUACCUAAUCAGAAAGCCACGGCUAACUACGCG